AAAUAACAGACCUCAAGAGCUCUGCCAAGGGAAUGAAAGCAAUGACAGACAGCUGUCCCAAGGGAAUAAGGAUAUCAGCUACAACCUCUGGGAUAACCCCUUGGGCCUGAUAAACAAGUGGGACCCUGAAAUUGCUGCCCAGGAGGUACCCUUGAGACAGUCAGCACUUUAGGCCCUGAGGCAGCAGCAGAGGCAGUGGCUGACCUGCCCAGCACAGCUCCUGCCACAGCCAGUGCCAUGGGCUUAGCACCUGCUGUGGCCAGAGCUCCUGAGGCACAAGAGGAGGCUAUGGCAGCUUCUCCUGCCUUUGGCAAGCAGGUGAGAGUUGCAGGGGCAGAGAACCAGGCAGCUUCCCUGUACAGCCCCUGCAGCCCAAGCGGGCCUUUGCCCAUGGCCUUAGCAGGCAGCAGAUAGGGGCAGUGGCAGGGUCAGUCCUGUCAGCACCAGCGGCUGAGGUGGGAGCCUUGGCCAUGGAAGAGUGGAAAGGCUCGCUUGACCAAAAACAGUCCCAAAGGCAAAUUGACAGAGCCCAAGACCCGUCUCAAGGGGAAGAUGACUAUGGCAAAGAACUGUCCCAAUAGGUAGACAAGAGAGACCAAGACCAGUGCCAAGUGAAAGAGGACAAAGACCAAAGCCUGAGUAGUCCUGAGGAGGAGGGGUUCCCUCUGCCCACCCCUCAGGAGGCACAGGUCUUGGGCAGAGUGCCAGUCCAGGCCUCGCUCACCCCAUGGAAGCCCAUGGCCUCAGUGGCCUCCUGAGGCUGUGCACCAGGAACAUCCUUCCCACUUCAGGCGGACACUCCAGGCCCUGAGCAGGCUGUGCUGGUGUGCCUGCAUGGGGGGACAUCCUGAGGAUUAGUGCUCCACUGCCAGCACCAGACUGGGCCCCAGAUAUGCUGGCUCACCCUGGGCCUGGUCAGCAUGCCAUGGGAGCAACAAAGGCAGAGAAUCCCAGAAUACAGGAGGCUAGUGCAUGUGUCCCAAAACCCCUUAGCCAGAUGGCUGUAAAGUCAGCCAAGGACCUUUGGUAAAAACUACACAAGAGCUGUUGGCAGUAAUCCAGCUUGUAGUAAUUUGACCUGAGAAAGAAGAAGUUGUUGGAGAGGACAGCCAUGUGGAUGGAGGACAGAACUUUUCUAGGGCAAACAUCCUUGUUCUAGUCCCUGGAAAUAAGCACAAGAGAGGACAGCAAAAAGGUAGCAAUGAAGCCAAUAAGUGAGCAUGGACUGGACGGCAGAAUCAAGACCAUCCAAGAGCCCUGGCUUUUCUGACCCAUAUCCAGGAACGUCUGAAAGAAUGGCCUAUGCAUGACCAAAAAUUUGCAUAGAAAGCAAGAAACCUGUCUUCAGUGCAGGGAACCCUCUCUCCACAAAGGACCCCCCUCAAACCUGGGCAGUGCUCCCAGGAACCUGGACCCCAUUAUAUGGAUCAACACCAGAACCAGGAAUGACAUUCCAUCAUGUGGAUCAACACUGGAACCAGGAAUGACAUCCAUAUCCUCUGGAGCAAGACUGAAACCAGGAUGGACAUCCUCAUCAGCAUGAUUGAGGCUCGAACCUCAUUCAGUAGGGAUAUAGAUCCCUAUUGGCUGGGUCAACGCUGGAACCACGACUGCUGAUCUCUUUUUCUCUCUCUCUCUCUUUUCUCUAUCUCUCUUUCUUUCUCUCGCUCUAUCUCUCUAACUUAUCCCUUCUUUUCUCCCUUCCCUUUUCCCCCACCCCUUUCUCCCAAACCCCCUGCCACAUGUAGAUAGGAUACCCAAGUUCUCUUGGAAAGUGGCUUUUCUCCAGUAUUAUGUGAUCCAUGUACAUGCUGAGCUGUGACCAGUCAUGGACGUCACAUGGAGGAAGUGAGGAGCUGAUUCUGCAAGGCAAAGUCACUGGGACUUGAGGAACCAGGAAUAAAAUGACACAAAUAUAAUCAAAGAAGAAAUAAAAGCCUGGAAAAAUAAUGUUAGCCAACAUUGUUUUAUGAACAUCAGUCUCCUUGGACAGAUCUGAUUACGUCCUCAGACCCAUGGAGACUGGCUAACCUGUUAAUGGACAGCUCUUAAUACAGCUCAAGAGGAGACUUCUGAUGAUAUCCCAGGCAGCUGGAAGAUGACUGAAGUUAAAAAGUAAAGCUCCAUGCCUUGUGAAUGGGCUCCAGAGUCCAGGGGCUUAUUUUUCUUCCCACAUCCCAGGUCUCACAGGUUGAGUCUCUAGACCACCCUCUGCAUCAAGCUCCCUCCUUCUGAGAGCAGCUGGUUUGUGGUCUCCCAUGUCCACGUUGUCCCUUGAGGCUCUGGUCAGACCAACAAUGAUUUCCAGCAGGUAUCUGAGGAGAUCACAACUAUACUUGCCUAUGGAGGCAGUAAAAACCAACAGUGUAAGGAUCUAGAUUUGCCUUCUUCCUGCCCUGCUUGCAGAGAUAUCUGGGGGAUAAUUUCACACCUGCACUUGUAUUUUCGACUGUGAUGUAUCUCCAGAUGUGCUGACUGUAUUAAACAAAGUCCCCUCUAGCCCUGUGAGAUGCCUCUCCUCACUCUUAUUAGCAUCUGCAACCAUGCUGACGUCCUUGAAAUACUUCCUGGCUUCCAGCAUUGGCUCUCCCCCUCUCCCUCUCGCUGGGCAAGUGUGAAGAUAUGUGUGAAUAUUCCCCAAAAGCAAUAGUUGUGGAGCCAUCCUCCUAUCACAACCAGCUGGUGCCAAUGCUACAGCAUUUGUCCAGCUGCCUGCACCUUCCUCAGUCACCGUCAGCCACUCUGCACUGCAGCCCAGGCUCCUUCCAAACACAGCAAAAGGAGGAGAAAUGCAAAUAUGCCCUGUGUGGCUUCAGGGUCCUGGAGAACAGUUUGGAAGAAUUGCCCUGGUUCAAGGCAUGAAAGGAGUCUCCUGCCUUGUGGCAGCACCCACAUUCACUAAGCCACAUUUUCCUGUGGCGGCUCGGGGGCUCUGCCUGCCUCCUUCAUGGCCUGGCAUCUCCACAGCAGCCCUCUAGUACAUCAAGAAACCUGCUGGCCUUCCAUAGGAUCCAUCACCCCCCUCAGAUCGCCUUCUCCUGAGCCUUCACAACCUCCGGGCUCUACUUACGACAUGAACAUCACAAAGGCAAGAACCAGCUUUUUCCACACCAUAAUUAAAAAGUACAUAAUCUUGACUUAGAAAGAGUGAGUUUGUUAUAAAUGGAAAUAUGUUAGAGGUGUUUUCAUUUUCUCUUUGGGUUUCCAGCAUUCCUGGUUGUCUUUCUAAGCUUUCUGUUUCAAGAACAAGGAUUAGAAACCAUUUAUAUUCCUGGACAGCUGAGUUUGUCAUAUAAAUGUGGUUCCAGAAACUGAAGCCUUGGGAAAAAAAUUGCAAGCAUCCCCAGUAAAAUUAUGAAUGUCUGCAACACCCUUUACAUUUUUGAAAAUCUUAGCAAGGCCCAGGAAUGAAUAAAGACCACAGAAAUGUAUAGUAGGCUCAUAGAAUGGAUGCGGUUGGAAGGGACUUUAAAGAUAUCUACGUCCAAAUCCCCAACCCUGGGCAGGGAUGCCUUCCACUAGACCAGGUUCUCAGGGCCCUAUCCAUUGUUAUCCAUUGAUAUCCACGUACAAGAUGGAGACCAGACUGCAAUUAGACGUAAGACAUCCAGUCUUGACCCUUCUCUUUGCCACAGGAUUUCUGUAUCACUUCAGGUCAGUGCGUCCCACGUAAUUUCACUGAAGACAUUUGAGUCCACUUAAUUUGGGAAGGCCAGGGAGAGAGUGCUUAGCAUCUUGCAGGACAGAAUACUCUACAUCCUUGUGUCCCAUAUGUAAACCCUGGACAAAGCUACUCCUUCUCUCUUACUGCCCUCCAAUGAACAGGGUAUUCUCUGCAGCAGGGAUUUUCCCCACAGACUUGACACAAUUUCAAAAACACUCAGUAACUAUCAACCAUAAUUAACCCUCUGCUUUAAUUUCUGCACUGUCAUUACUAAGAAGGGGUGAAGUUUUUGUGUGUGGAAAAUCACACACAUUAAAAAGCACCAAAUAUUGACAUUACCAGAUAAGCCUGCCAAUAUAUAUUUCAGGCAACACAUGGGAACUGUGUACCUGGAGGAUCCCACGCACAG